AGCGAACGCUGGCGGCAGGCCUAACACAUGCAAGUCGAACGAAGUCUUCGGACUUAGUGGCGGACGGGUGAGUAACACGUGGGAACGUGCCUUUAGGUUCGGAAUAACUCAGGGAAACUUGUGCUAAUACCGAAUGUGCCCUUCGGGGGAAAGAUUUAUCGCCUUUAGAGCGGCCCGCGUCAGAUUAGCUAGUUGGUGAGGUAAAGGCUCACCAAGGCUACGAUCAGUAGCUGGUCUGAGAGGAUGACCAGCCACAUUGGGACUGAGACACGGCCCAAACUCCUACGGAAGGCAGCAGUGGGGAAUCUUGCGCAAUGGGCGAAAGCCUGACGCAGCCAUGCCGCGUGGAUGAUGAAGGUCUUAGGAUUGUAAAAUCCUUUCACCGGUGAAGAUAAUGACUGUAGCCGGAGAAGAAGCCCCGGCUAACUUCGUGCCAGCCGCCGCGGUAAAAC
rnacentral:rRNA from 1 species